rnacentral:lncRNA from 1 species
GUUGUACGUCAGCUAUAAGGACUUUGGCCACAUCUCUUCCAAAUGUCCUAGCCGAGCCUUAACCAUGGAAGAACGAAAGAAUGUAAUAGAUGAGCCGUCAAAAUAUCUAGUCUAUGAACCUAAACUUGAAGAUUUUGAUAAAUUGGAUGAUAAUGAGGACACCUCAUUAGGUAGCAUCCGGACUUUUCCUAUGACUCUAGGUGUUGUACCUCUUGUUUUCAAUACCUCUCAGUCAAGUGUUGUGCAUUAUAUCUUUAUCCAACCCAAAGGUACUGAUGAUUUGCAUAAUCCUGCUUGAAAUUUGAUCCUCCCAACUGUUCAAAUUGCAUAUAACAGUUCUAUGAAUUGCUCUAUAGGUCUAAGUCAUUUUGAAGUUAUUCCUGAUUAUAAGUCUAAGAUACCUUUAGACCUUAUUCCAAUGUCCCCACAUACUAGUAUGUCUAUGUCAGCUGAGGCAUUUGUACAUCAUCUUCAUGACUUGCAUGUUGAGAUCAAUAAACAAUUUGAAGCAAGUAAUACAUUAUAUAAAUUUCAAGCUGAUUUGCAUAAGCGAAAUUUUGAAUUUAAUAUUGGGGAUUAUGUUAUAUUGCAAGCCUACAGUGUUG